rnacentral:tRNA from 1 species
AAAGGUACAUUGUUAUAACACAAAUUUGGUUACAUCAAAAACUGUUGUAUUUUUA